UACGGAGGGUGCAAACGUUGCUCGGAAUCAUUGGGCGUAAAGCGCACGUAGGCGGCCUGAUAAGUCGGGUGUGAAAGCCCUGGGCUCAACCCAGGAAGUGCACUCGAAACUGUCAGGCUUGAAUAUGGAAGAGGGUCGCGGAAUUCCCGGUGUAGAGGUGAAAUUCGUAGAUAUCGGGAGGAACACCAGUGGCGAAGGCGGCGACCUGGGCCAAUAUUGACGCUGAGGUGCGAAAGCGUGGGGAGCAAGCAGG
rnacentral:rRNA from 1 species